AUCGCGUUUAAUUCAUGAAUAAUUACUUUUACCUAAAAAAAAUGCAACUUUUUUUGAAUUUUUGGAAAAAAUAUGAAAACGACUAUUUUAUUUGACUUUUCAAAAAUUCGCGAAUAAUUUACGAAUAAUUCGCGAGCUUUCGGAAUUAAACCAAUAUUAGUACGAAAUACCUGAAAAAUAGAGUCGGGGGCCUUAGACGCAGCAGUAAUUUGUGCAGAACGAAGGCGGAGACCUGAAAUGGCAUACAGAGCUAAGAAAGUGCACAGAGAAUAGGUGAGGAAAUGGACGCGAGAGAGAGAGAGAGAGAAACCUGGGGAGAG
rnacentral:lncRNA from 1 species